rnacentral:rRNA from 1 species
AUUGAACGCUGGCGGCAGGCCUAAUACAUGCAAGUCGAGCGGAGGAAGGGAGCUUGCUCCUGGAUUCAGCGGCGGACGGGUGAGUAAUGACUAGGAAUGUGACUGGUAGUGGGGGAUAACGUCAGGAAACGGGCGCUAAUACCGCAUACGUCAUGAGGGAGUAAGGGGGGGUACUUACGACCACACGCCAUUAGAACAGCCUAGGUAGGAUUAGCUAGUGGGUGGGGUAAAGGCCUACGAAGGCGACGAUCAGGAACUGGUCUGAGAGGAUGACCAGUCAAACUGGAACUGAGACACGGUCCAGACUCCUACGGGGGGCGGCGGUGGGGAAUAUUGGACAAUGGGCGAAGGCUUGAUGCAGACAUGCCGGGUGGGUGAGGAAGGUUUUCGGAUGUUAAAGCAUUUUAAGUUGGGAGGAAGGGCAGUAAGUUAAUACCUUGAUGUUUUGACGUUACCAACAGAGUAAGCACCGGCUAACUUCGUG